rnacentral:lncRNA from 1 species
CUAGAGUAAAUACCUUGAGGCAGAGAGGGUACCUGCUAUGCUCCAGAGAUACAGAGGAGUGAGUCCCCCAUCCUCUGAUUCCUGGCCCCAGAAACACCCUAUACCCCACCUCAAGCUACUUGUUUAUCCUGGUGAAAUAAAGGCUUGUCAGAGAGACAUGGCUAUUGCUAAUUACUGGAUUGUUGUGUCUGCUGUUCCCAGGCAAGGCAUCCAGGGCCUAUUUCUGGAGGUGCCCUGGCUCUGAUGGCCUCUCCUUAAGAGGAAGCAGCCACCACAAGGAAAAUGAAGGAGCCAAGGAGGAUCCGCUCUACUUUCGUUCUUCCUGCUGAGAACCACAGACUGGGAGCCCACUUGGCCCCAUGAGGCAGCACAAUGCAGGGGAGAUGAACUUGAGUCACCGUGACAACUGUCCCUGAGUUGGGAAAUAUCAGCUGUAUACUCAUGAUGUCCUGAAUCAGAGGCGUGGAUACCUUACAGCCUGGACACACCUGCACCUAUGUGUUCAGAAGCUUGAAAGCUUCCUGCAUUGAUGAAGUUUGGAUGGACUGCUCAGACGCACUGACCCAGGAAGGAGAGGAGCUGGCUGUGGCAGGCGCUGGAGGCCAGAACUGGAGCGUGAAAACCAUGCUCACGGUAUCAACUGCUUACACCUCUUUCCUUGUUUCAUUUCUUCAGUCUCCACUGUGACAUCAAGGGAGGACUGAGGAAGCAGGGACAAGUGGCCCUCAUUGAGUCCCCUCCCUGGUUUAGGCAGGCUCUCCACUAAUAUGCCCGUUGGUCUUUCUCCUCGCCUCUUGCAUAUACAGUCAGCCAGACCCCACCCAAAUCUACUAAAAAUCCCCCACCUCACUUUGGGAGGGGGGUCUCCUCCCAGCCAGUCUUUCCUGGCCACUUUCUGACUUUUUUCCUUCUUCUCAAUAAACCAACCUUGCUUCUCUUAGACUCCCUGGCCUGGACUGUUGUUUAUGAGCCC